rnacentral:rRNA from 1 species
UGGGGAAUUUUGGACAAUGGGCGAAAGCCUGAUCCAGCAAUGCCGCGUGUGUGAAGAAGGCCUUCGGGUUGUAAAGCACUUUUGUCCGGAAAGAAAUCCUUGGCCCUAAUACAGUCGGGGGAUGACGGUACCGGAAGAAUAAGCACCGGCUAACUACGUGCCAGCAGCCGCGGUAAUACGUAGGGUGCAAGCGUUAAUCGGAAUUACUGGGCGUAAAGCGUGCGCAGGCGGUUUGCUAAGACCGAUGUGAAAUCCCCGGGCUCAACCUGGGAACUGCAUUGGUGACUGGCAGGCUAGAGUAUGGCAGAGGGGGGUAGAAUUCCACGUGUGAGCAGUGAAAUGCGUAGAGAUGUGGAGGAAUACCGAUGGCGAAGGCAGCCCCCUGGGCCAAAUACUGACGCUCAUGCACGAAAAGCGUGGGGAGCAAAACAGGAUUAGAUACCCUGGUAGUCCACGCCCUAAAACGAUGUC